GACGAACGCUGGCGGCGUGCCUAAUACAUGCAAGUCGAACGCAGCGGGGACGGGUGAGGAACACGUGGGUAACCUCCCAUCAGAGUGGAUAACACUUGGAAACAGGUGCUAAACCGAUACUGUUGGAGUGACCCGCGGUGCAUUAGCUAGUUGGUGAGGUAACGGCUCACCAAGGCCACGAUGCAUAGGCGACCUGAGAGGGUGUUCGUGCACACUGAGACUGAGACACGGCCCAGACUCCUGCGGUGGGGAACAGUAGGGAAGCUUAGGAUAUGAACGAGAGUCUGACAGAGCAACGCCACGUGAGUGAAGAAGGUUUUCGGAUCGAAAAGCUCUGUUGUUAGAGAAGCGGUAUCUAACCAGAAGGCCACGGCUAAAUACGUGCCAGCGGCCGCGGUGAUAC
rnacentral:rRNA from 1 species